CUCUUCGGAGGGAAGAGAGGGUGACUGAGCGGCGGACGGGUGAGUAACGCGUGGGCAACCUGCCUUACACAGGGGGAUAACAAUUAGAAAUGAUUGCUAAUACCGCAUAAGACCACGGCCUCGCAUGAGGGAGUGGUAAAAACUGAGGUGGUGUAAGAUGGGCCCGCGUCUGAUUAGGUAGUUGGUGGGGUAGAAGCCUACCAAGCCGACGAUCAGUAGCCGACCUGAGAGGGUGACCGGCCACAUUGGGACUGAGACACGGCCCAAACUCCUACGGGAGGCAGCAGUGGGGAAUAUUGCACAAUGGGGGAAACCCUGAUGCAGCGACGCCGCGUGAGUGAGGAAGUAUUUCGGUAUGUAAAGCUCUAUCAGCAGGGAAGAAAAUGACGGUACCUGACUAAGAAGCCCCGGCUAACUACGUGCCAGCAGCCGCGGUAAUACGUAGGGGGCAAGCGUUAUCCGGAUUUACUGGGUGUAAAGGGAGCGUAGACGGAAGCGCAAGUCUGAUGUGAAAAUCCGGGGCCCAACCCCGGAACUGCAUUGGAAACUGUGAUUCUAGAGUGUCGGAGAGGCAAGUGGAAUUCCUGGUGUAGCGGUGAAAUGCGUAGAUAUCAGGAGGAACACCAGUGGCGAAGGCGGCUUGCUGGACGAUGACUGACGUUGAGGCUCGAAAGCGUGGGGAGCAAACAGGAUUAGAUACCCUGGUAGUCCACGCCGUAAACGAUGACUACUAGGUG
rnacentral:rRNA from 1 species